rnacentral:rRNA from 1 species
AUGGCAAAAAAAUAUCAACUGUGGCAACUUUAUUAUUUGCACCAUAGCAUAUAUCUUUUUUCAACCAUGACAAUUAUUUUCUUUUUGUUUGGACCAUGGCUACUUUUUGUAUUUUUAGACCAUGGCAAAAUUAUUUUAUGGACCAUCGCAAAUUUAUUUUCUAUGACCAUGGAAAAUUUAUUUGUUUGUACCAUGGAAAAUUCAUACUUCAUAACAUGGCAAAAAAAGAACCAUGACAACUUUAUUGUUUGUACCAUGGCAGAUUUCUUUUUUAACCAUGGCAAUUAUUUUCUUUUUUGUUUGAACCAUGGCUAUUAUUUUUUGUAUUUUAGACCAUGGAAAAAUCAUAUUAUGGACCACGGCAAAUUUAUUUCCAUCACCAUGGCAUUUUAUGGUUUCUACCAUGGCAAAUUCAUACUUCAUACCAUGGCAAAAAUAAUUAGAAGUGUAAAACUUUGUUAG